CCGCUUGCAGCUUCUUUUCCCUGUCUCCCCAGUCUCCUUCCUGGGAGGGCUUUUCCUCCUCUUCCGUUUGCCCGCAGUCUGGGAAUCAAAGAAUCCUUAUCAGUGCUUCCUUCCUCUCAGAAAGCUGGAAUUCGCAGUGUCCACCCCAAAUGUCUUUUGGCCUAAGCAAAUUCUUCCAAACCCCGAAGAGCUGAGAAAAGGGCUGGAUAUGGCAGGGGGCUGCGGCAGGCUGCCAACGAUGGAGGUUGGAGGAAAAUACUCCCCUUUACCACAGCUCUAAGGGGUGGGAUAAAUACGUGGCUAUCUCUAGUUCCUCAUGUCUUAUUUCUACCUCUCUGCCUAACAUCUAUUUAUCUCUGGUUUUCCUCCCCACAUGUCUAGGGCAUGGCUUUGACAUUCAGUCAAACUAGUGAAGACACAUGAUUACCCAUUUUCUGCUACCCAAAAUAAUCUCUCUCUCUCCCUCUCUCUGUCUCUCUCUGUGAAGAAAAUUGCUCUUUGCUGCUAAGGAAAGUAUUAAAGGUGCCAUGGCACCGGCAGCUCCUUCUUGGGGUACGCUGUGGUGCUGCAAAAGAUCUCUAAAAUUCGGCAGCAUCUCCAUGAAGGCAGCCUGGAUGGCUGAUGUUAGCAAGCAGUGGGGAAUGAAAGGUCUGAUUGGAAUCUGAGGGUGCCAGCCCUUGAGAUACUGAUUUGUAAAGAGUCAAAGCCCAUUUUGGUGGUGGUGCUGCUUUGUUGGGUCAAAGUUGUGCUCCAGAAUUCCGUAUUUUAGGCUAGCAGCAUAACGAAGCCUUGGGCAGCAUCUGCUGCACCUUUCCCAGUACAUGGGACUGUGAUUGGUGUUACCAGUCACAGCUAGAAGAUCUGCCUUCUGAUUCCCCAGUGGGAGACAAGCCAAACCAACUUGCAGAGCAAGCCAAAUAAUUGUUGAUUAGACACUUCUUUUAGCAUGGAGUGUUCUGCCCUUUUAGCUGUCCUGGUAAUAUAGGCCUAAUCAGUUACUAGAUUAAAAGGUUGUUGUAAUUUUUUAAAUGCUCUGACAUCAGCAGCCAACUCAGGAAUUUGGGGGGUUCCUUCAAUGACUUGAACAUCCUACUCCCACUUCUGAGUGUUUGGAUCCUUCCAAGUGAUAACCGAUUUGUGUGAUUUUCCAGAGCGAUCUGUAAAAACUGUGAGGGCUUUAAGAGGAACCUUACCUUUUAGAGAAUUUGGGACUAGAUGGAAUGUUUCUUUUAGUAGCUUGUGUUUUGGAUAAUGAAUAGACACUUGUCCGGGAUAGCUGUCUAAAUCAAACUGAAGGUAUCCAUUUGUCUGUAAUAGCGAUUCUAAUUUGUGUAGUUGAAAUGCUGGAUAAAUGUAUGUUGGGUCACACGCUGCAGGGGUUCGGAGGUGGUUCCUGUCUUUAAUGAUUAACUGAGCUAAAAGCUCUUGAGGGAUUGUAAUAGUUUUUUUGGUGUGGCAAAAAUACCCAUUCUACAAUUAACAAUUUUUCUGUAGAAGACGGGUCCCACUGAAAAAGCAGUGCCUGGAAAUGUGGGGAUUUACCAAGACUAGCAAUCUGGGAGGUUAGAGAGCGGUCAACGCGGUGUGCUUUUCGAGAUGAGAUAGCAGGUGCUACCUUUUGCAGCGCGUCGUGGGCAUCUGGAGUUAAGAUGAGCUGGGAAGUCAGGUCAUGGCUCCCCUUCAGUAGGCUGAACAAAGGGCACAGCUCUUCUCUCGUGAGUCCAAGCAGUGGUCGGAUCCAGGUGAUGGAGCCACACAACUGUUGUAUGUCCCUUAGCAUUUGAGCCUUAUCUUUGAUGGAGAUAUUUUGGGGAAUAAUGGCUCACCCGCUGAUAAGGAAUCCAAGGUACUUCCACAGGGAGGUCUACUGGGUUUUUCAGGAGCAAUAUCAAAACCUGCAUCUUCAACUGCUGUCAUAGUCUUUCUGAUCACUGGGUUAAGGUAAGUCUUUUCUUGGGAGCAAAUUAAAAUGUCGUCCAUAUAAUGCCGAAAUAUAGCUUCAGGGAAGGUUUUCCUGAUUGGAGAUAGAAUCCCAGCCACAAACAUUUGACAUAAAACAGGGGAAGUUUUCAUUCCCUGUGGCAAUGUGACCUAAUGAUAUCUUUUAAAGGGUUCUUGACAGUUGAUUGGUAUCGAAAAUGCGAAUUUGGGAGUGCGGGACAGAGAGGGAUGUUGAAUAAACAGUCUUUGAUAUCAAGGAUUGUGAGCUGCCAGUCCCUGGGAAGUACAGAAGGUGAGGGGAGCCCUGGUUGCAAGGAGCCCAUGUCUUCUAAAACAUCAUUUACUUUCCAAAAGUCUUGUAAUAACCUCCAUCUGUCUUUGCCAGGUUUUUUAUAAAAAGACAUGGGUCAGGAGCUAGUUGAUGGUACAAUGUGUCCUUUUAAUAAUUGUUCCUGUACUGGGGCAUGGAGCACUUCUAAUUUGCCAUUUGGAAGGCCCAAUGAUCCACCCACACAGGAUCAUACCCACAGGGAGGGAUCAUACCUUUUCCCACAGAUGGACAACAGCCAUAUUGAGUGGUUUAGUUUUAAUUUCUUUUUAAUUCCCAAAGUUUCAUUUUUUUCAACAUUGUAAUACAGCAUCUCUAUUCAAAUCAUUAUACUCACCUUGGUUAAUUAAAUAUUUAUUAAUUUAUUUUGCCCCCAUAAUAUCAGACAAAAGCAUAGGACAAAAGCAUAGGAAGAACAACAAGCAAUUACAGAAAUACAGUAUCUUCCCUGAAAAUCCCUUGGAAACCAUGUUAAAACAAUGGGAAGAACAUCAACUUACUAAAGAUAAAGACCCACAGCUCAAGAUUGUGCAUUGCAUGUUAGAAUGGCCAAAGAAGAAAUUAAAACAAGGUCUUCGCUGGCUGAAGCAUGGGUCUACCAGGAUGUGGAUUUGCGAAGUACUUUACAAUUACGCCCAAAAUAAAUUAAAUGCAGACUGGAAUUGCAGUAUGUGGAGGUCUGGUUUAAAUAUUGGAACAGCGAAAAGGAAGUAGAAACAGAUAAACCAAAUUCUCUCUGUAAUGAUCAAUGAUAAAGACACAAGGAGGAAAACCAAUCAACCAAGGUGGGACUCAUUAAAUUUCCUCCCCCCUACUGCACCUCCCAACGAACCAGCUGCAACUGCAGCUGAGUCAUUGGAGGCUUCAUUGAGUCAUGUAACUGAGAGGGCUGAAGAAAUUGAAAGUAGCAGUGGGACAUCAGAAGAAACAUAUAUUCUAUCAUUCUCCUCCAGGCAAAUUACAAAUUCAGCCAUGCAGGAAGUUCCAUCCAAUCAAGAAGGUCCAGCCUUCUUCACUUGAAGGAGAACCCUGGUAGUACAAAAAUGUUCCUCCUGCUCCAGCAGUAAAGAUAAAACAAAGGUGGCAUCCCUCAGAGAGGUCCCAAUGGAGGGUGCACAAGGUGGAAUAGGAUAUGUAAAUGCACCCCUCACCUCUUCAGAAGUGAGGCAUUUUAAAAAGGAAAUGGAGAUAUUAUUCAGUGACCCAGUAGGUAUGUCAGAAAAAGUUUACCAGUUCUUAGGCCCUAGGAUUUACCCUAGGGGAAAAUGAAAUUCAAUAAUGCAAACCCUUUUCUCUCCAGAGAAGAGAAAAGUUAUUUAGACUGCAGGGAUCAAUAUAUUGGACAGAGAACAUAAUUUAGGAACAACUGGAGAGAAGAAAUUACCAUUAACAGAUCCAGAAUGGAACCCUAACUCAGAUGAGGGAAGAAAAAGUAUAGCAGAAUACAGAACCCGAAUUGUAAGGGGAAUAAAAGAGGCAGUCCCCAGAGUUAAUAACAUGAAGAAAGCCUUUGGUAGCAAACAAUAAAAACAUGAGAGCCCAACUGACUGUAUAACUCGCUUAAAUAAUAACAUCCAAUUAUAUUUAGAAAGAGAUUUAGGUAGUGAAGGAGGGAAGACAAUGUUCUAGGUCCACUUUGGGUUACAUUCUUGGCCUGACAUAAAACAGAAAUUAGAGAAAUUAGAUGGAUGGCCAGAAAGAAGUUUAGAUGAGUUAUUAGCUGAAGCACAGUAAGUUUAUGCCAGGUGAAAUGAAGAGAAAAUGAAGACUAAAGCUAAGAUGAUGGCUGCUGUCCAAAUUCCUAAACCAAUUAGGCAGGAUGGGGAGAAUAUUCAAUUGAAGAAACCUAUUUGCUUUUAUUGUAAGAAAGAAGACCAUAUGCAAUCCUGCUGUUUUAAGACAUUGAGGGACUUAAGAGAUUCUCCAAGUGGAGAAUCAACCCUCAGAGAACUGAGGGGGUCAGGGGCUCUUCUUCUUGGGGCACAAAAACCAUCUUCAAGAGCCCUUGAUAAAAUCAAGGAUAGGACCCCUAGAACAAUUAAUGGAAUUAUUAGUAGACACAGGAGCAGAGACAACUUGUUUAACUGAAAAACCAAAUGCAUGUGCCAUAAGCAAAGACACUUUCAAUAUUUGUGCUGCUAAAGGGGAAUCCUUCCCCAUUCCCAUCAUUAAGAAUGUCACUAUAAAGGGUAAUGGACUAACCAGAAAGGGAGAUUUGUUUUUCUACCUCCAACAGGUAACAACUUACUUGGCCAGGAUCUCCAGAUACCUUUGAAAGUUGGAGUAGUUCCACAAGAAGGAAGGAUGAAGGUCAUUUUGUUUACUUUAUCCACACAAGAUGAAAACUGAUUAAUCCUACAGUGUAAGCCCAACCAGAUUCUCCUUCUAGACACCUGUUUGCUUCCACCUGGGAAGAUCCAGACACUGGAAGGAAACAGCAGCUGACCAGGACCUGGUGACUGCAAGGGUACAUGGAGUCUCCCACACUCUUCGGUCAAGCCUUGGAGAGCCUGUUCAUUUCCUUUUCUCCACCCUCAGGAAUACAAGUAACACAGUCAUCAAAAGGGAACUCUGGAGAAACCAGAGGAAACAUCCUAGCAGACCAUGCUGCAAAGGAGGCUGCUUUUGAGGGGGAAUUAAAGGAGAAACAACAUGAAUAGAACCAAGGCCAGUUCCAGGUAGGACUUGCCUGCAUUUAGGUCCCUUCCUGCAUCCAGGUACACUCCCAUGAAAACCAAGGGGUCUGAACCCAGUAGGAAAACCAGAGAGGUUGAAUGGUCUGCACCACCUAUCAAAGAGUACCACAGCACUUCAAUCUUCCCAUUGACCCCUGAGCGAGGGAAGGGAAGGUGCGCCCUACUCCUCAUACUCUCCCUCUGGAUCCUGUAGAUCCCCCUUGUCAGAGCCUGCGUCUGCUGCCACCAAUGCUAACAUACAGUGUACCUGACCAAAGGAAACUCCUACCUCAUAAAACACUCAUUCCAGGCACAUUCUUAUGUAAAUCCCUUUUGUUAUAAUAUGAUGACACUGAGUAGAUACUGACAAUCGGACAAAAACCAAUGGAUUGGUAGAAAUAUUGGAAAUGCAAACCAGAAAAGGAAUGGAGAGUGUCCUGAUGAAGAGAUUUGGCUAUAUGUCAAAUUUAAUUAUAUAACGAAAAAGAAGGAUUUGUUAAAAAGGAAAACUUAUGAUGUUGAUUUGAUUCGAGAAAUUGUAAUAACUGAAAGGGGGAAACAAAAGGGGGACAAUCCAUUAGCUACCGAUAAAAACUUAUUUAUUGUUUUAGCAGAACAAAUUAGUAAAAAUCAAAAUAUAACCAAUUGUUGGGUUUGUGGAGGCACCUUCAAAUCAGAAGCCUGGCCUCAGCAAGGAGUCAGUAUUGGACCCCUCAAAUGACUUAAACUAAAUUAUUUCCCCUCCCAAACUCCAAGAGAUCAAGACAAUUGGCUAUUGAGGGACACAGUUCUUGGAGAAGAAUGCAUCUGGAGAAAAGGAAAAAGAUACACUGAGGAAGUUGUAGAAACUACCUGUAAAAGAUAUUUACUAACUGAGGAUCACGUGGAUGUAUCAGUGGUGGAUACUGAACGAACCAGAUACCUUUUGGUCAAAGAAGAAAAUCAGAAACAAGAACUGCAUAUUACAUCCCAAUGAACAACUUUAUCAGUGCUGGGACCCUAAAAGUCAGCCUUUAUUCAGUAUUACCCCAAGUUUCUAAGUAUUGGACCUCCACUUUUAUCACGCUUUCACAUUUUUGGGAGGCCCCCCAAGGUUUAUACUGGAAUUGUGGGCAAAGAGCAUAUUCUAAACUCCCUUCGUACUGGUGUGGCAAUUGUACCUUAGGAGCAAUACGACCUAGCCCCUUUCUACUAUCAGAAGCAGCUGGAAACCAGCUCGGAGUUCCCCUAGAUGAUAAAUUAAAGAGACAAAAAAGAUGUGAAAUAGGGGGAAUGUAACAAUGGGGUAAGGAAGAGUGGCCACCAGAGAGAAUUUUAGAAACUUACGGACCUGCCACUUGGGAUCAGGAGGGGAGCUGGGGCUAUCAAACUCCCAUUUACAUGCUAAAUCACAUUACUGGACUACAAGCCCUGAUUCACGUCAUAUCUAAUCAGGCCAAGAGUGCAAUUGAUUUUUUCAACGCCCAACAGAAGCAAAUGAAAACAGCUGUAUAUCAAAACUCUUUAGCCCUAGAUUAUUAGCCAAAGAGGGUGGAAUAUGCAGCAAUUUCAACACAUCAGACUAUUGUCUGCAUAUUGAUGACCAUGGUGAAACUAUUACUAAAAUUACCCAAAACAUCAGAAAGCUUACACAUGUUCCAGUCCAGUUUUCACCUGAUUAGUGGAAAAAUAUGUUCUCUAGGGAGUGGUAGAAGAAAGCCUUAAUUAUUUUUCGAGUUUCCUUAGUUAGCCUUCUCUUUCUCCCGUGCUUAAUCCCAUGUUUCAUUCAUCUAAUUACCUCAGUAGUACAAAGCAUGUUCGCUAGUCAAAAUCUUCAAACGAGCCAACAUUCUAUGCCUACUGUCAAGAAAAUCAUAAAUCUCAAUCCAAUCAAAAGAGAUAGGAAAACGGGUAAAAAGGCCCAGCAAGUUUAGAUUAAUUUUAAACAAUUAAACACUAUCAACAAAGAACUUUUACAUUUAUGUAAAUGCAAAAGCCAAUGACUAACAUAAGAGAAAGAGGGAGGAACUGUCAUUUAUAAAAUCCCUUACAUGGCUUUUGCAUUUGUGACUGGUUUAUAUUUGUAACUGUUAAUUAGCUUUUGCAUUUAUAACUGUUUAAAGUUACUAGUUUGAUCAAAUAAAAGUGUUCAAAUUAAUGAAGUAAAUAAUAUAAAAUCAUUAUCAAGUUAUACUAGCUAUUCAGUAGAUCCCAACUGAAUGUUUAACAGUCCUGUUAAAAUAGGUAGCAAAAUAAGAACUAUAUUAUUUUUAUAAUCCUUUGUUCUUAACCUAAUUACAUUAUUUGUAAAUUUAAUUAUCUCUUUUUAGUAGCCUUAUACUUUCAAAGUUCCCAGUGCAGUUUCCUCUCACCAACAGCAUGCAGCAUUUUACAGACAAUUUCUAGCCCACUCCAGGUUGAACUGGUAACUUGAUGCCACAGCAAUGGUGCAUACUAAUGAGAGAGCUUCCCAUCAAAAACCUCAGAGAUAUCAUCCCACCCCAGUGACAGCACACUCUGGGAAAGAAGAUCUUACCCCAUCAUCUACUAGCACCAAUCACCUGAGACUAUGGGGGCAGGACUGCAAGUACAGACUGAGAGGACCGAGAACAUCAAAGGGGCAGCCUGGCCUGAAGAGCUGUCUUUGCUGUCUUUUACUGUUCCUGGGACUGUGACUUAGCUACAGCAGGGGACCCCACACUGCAGAUUUCAGUCAAUAUCUCUUUUUAGAGACCUUAUUCCAGAUUUGAGGGCAGACUAAGUGCAUUCACUGCAAUGCCCUCGGGUUCUUGCCUUGGGGCCAGACGCCAGUUCAGCUAGAGGUUUCCUCAAUCCUUGGGCCUGGGACUUUAUGCUUUUUUCUUUCUUUCCUUUCUUCUUUUUCCUUACCUCCCUUUUUGUUUUUCCCCUUUAAAUAAACACCCUAUUUUUGUUCAAA